rnacentral:rRNA from 1 species
UACAGAGGUGGCAAGCGUUGUUCGGAAUUACUGGGCGUAAAGGGCGCGUAGGCGGUUCGUUAAGUCCUGUGUGAAAUCCCCCGGCUCAACUGGGGAACUGCACAGGAAACUAGCGGGCUUGAGUUCGGGAGAGGGAAGCGGAAUUCCGGGUGUAGCGGUGAAAUGCGUAGAUAUCCGGAGGAACACCGGUGGCGAAGGCGGCUUCCGGGACCGACACUGACGCUGAGGCGCGAAAGCUAGGGGAGCAAACGGG